GCCUGGCUGGCUCAGUUGGAAGAGCCUGUAACUCUUGAUCGCAGGUUUGUGGGUUCGAGCCCCAUGCUGGCUG
rnacentral:tRNA from 1 species